UAGAUAGUAUAGAUCCUUUGGUAAUAACUGCACCUGUAUCUUUAUUAGCUUGCAGAACCUGCCUUUCGCCACAUUGGUUAGUGGAGCUCAUUGUUCUUUUCCUUCAGAACUUUGCUGUAAUUUAUGCCUCAAGCCUAAUAACUGGACUAGUGGAGACACAGGCAGAUGACAAAGAGGUUGAGAGAAGAUGACCUUCAGAGUGACAUACAAGCACGCACUGGACAGACUGCACAAAGAUGGGCAAGAUACAGAGCUCAUACAGGGCACAGCAGACUGAACCAAUCUCUGUGCAGCACAGGUGGCAACAGAAGAUGUUACAAAAAAAAAAGCAGAACUUAUGACAGAGACAGCAGGAAGCUGACAUCCUAAGACGCGCUGCACAGAAGUCAUCUAGCAGUCAGCAGCUCAGCCAGACUACCAGCCACAAUCAUGAGAAAAGUUGUCCGCAGCAGUAAAUUCCGCCAUGUUUUUGGCCAACCUUGUGAAAGCUGACCAGUGUUAUGAUGACAUCCGUGUCUCCCAGAAUACCUGGGACUCCAAUUUUUGUGCCGUCAACCCCAAAUUUCUGGCUAUUGUAGUGGAGGCGAG